rnacentral:lncRNA from 1 species
GUGCGUAACGCUGAUGAUGGGCUGGUGGCAGCGAGUUAUGUGCUGUCCCGACCUGAAAAGCUGGAUUGGCAACGACACCUGAUGUCCCAGCGGAGGGCUGCUGCUGUGCCGUCUGUACAGGAUUGAACCACACCUUUUUCUGGCACAUCCAUUCUGAAAUAUUUUGUUUUCUUUGUGGGGUUAUAUCAAACAUUUUUCUGGAACAUCCAUAGUCACUUAUAGUCACUAAAGCUGCACUGCAGCCUUAUGAGAGAUGCUCUUGCUAUUACUACAGCCUUCCUUCCUCUGAGAUCUCCACUGCAUCUUCC